UACAGAGGUCUCAAGCGUUGUUCGGAUUCAUUGGGCGUAAAGGGUGCGUAGGCGGCGCGGUAAGUCGGGUGUGAAAUCUCGGAGCUUAACUCCGAAACUGCAUUCGAUACUGCCGGUGCUUGAGGACUGGAGAGGAGACUGGAAUUUACGGUGUAGCGGUGAAAUGCGUAGAUAUCGUAAGGAAGACCAGUGGCGAAGGCGGGU
rnacentral:rRNA from 1 species